GGGGUUGUAGCUCAGUGGUAGAGCACUUGCCUAGCAUGCAUGAGGCACUAGGUUUGAUCCCAAGCACCACA
rnacentral:tRNA from 1 species